rnacentral:ncRNA from 1 species
GUUUUGGUCCUAAACUUGCCCUUGUUUUUUACCAAAAUUAUACAUGCAAGCCUCCACACACCAGUGAGAAUGCCCACAUACCCCUAAACAGCAAAUUGGAGCAGGCAUCAGGAUACAACACCACAUUAGCCAAAGACGCCUUGCAUAUGCCACACCCACACGGGCCCUCAGCAGUAAUUAACAUUAAGACAUGAGCGAAAGCUCGACUUAGUUAUGGUACACAUGGUCGGUGAAUUUCGUGCCAGCCACCGCGGUUAUACGAAAGACCAAAAACAACGGCCUACGGCGUAAAGCGUGACUAGAGAAUCAAUACACUUAGAGAAGAACGGCCGCCAAGUAGUAAAACACCCACGCACACCAGAAUAACAACAACGCCUCUAACAACACUCAACCUCACGAAAGCUAAGAAACAAACUGGGAUUAGAUACCCCACUAUGCUUAGCCCUAAACAUAGACAGUACAAACACUAUACUGUUCGCCAGAGAACUACAAACGAAAAGCUUAAAACUCCAAGGACUUGGCGGUGCUUCAAACCAACCUAGAGGAGCCUGUCCUAUAAUCGAUACCCCACGUUUUACCUUACCCCUUCUAGCCAAACAGCCUAUAUACCGCCGUCGUCAGCCUACCUUAUGAAAGAGGCAAAGUGGGCAAAAAAGUUAACAACUAAUACGUCAGGUCAAGGUGUAGCACACGAAGGGGCAGAGAUGGGCUACAUUUUCUCAAAGCGAAAAUACAAAUGGUGAACUGAAACACGCACCUGAAGGCGGAUUUAGCAGUAAAAUAACCAAGAAUAGUCAUUUUAAACCUGCUCUGAAGCGCGCACACACCGCCCGUCACCCUCAUCACAUGUCCAACAC